GACGAACGCUGGCGGCGUGCCUAAUACAUGCAAGUCGAACGCUGAAGGAGGAGCUUGCUCUUCUGGAUGAGUUGCGAACGGGUGAGUAACGCGUAGGUAACCUGCCUUGUAGCGGGGGAUAACUAUUGGAAACGAUAGCUAAUACCGCAUAACAGUAGAUGUUGCAUGACAUUUACUUAAAAGGUGCAAUUGCAUCACUACCAGAUGGACCUGCGUUGUAUUAGCUAGUUGGUGGGGUAACGGCUCACCAAGGCGACGAUUCAGAGCCGACCUGAGAGGGUGGUCGGGCAAACUGGGACUGGGACACGGCCCAGACUCCUACGGGAGGCAGCAGGAGGGAAUCUUCGGCAAAGGACGGAAGGCUGACCGAGCAACGCCGCGGGAGGGAAGAAGGGUUUCGGAUCGUAAGGCUCUGUUGUAAGAGAAGAACGAGUGUGAGAGUGGAAAGUUCACACUGUGACGGUAGCUUACCAGAAAGGGACGGCUAACUACGUG
rnacentral:rRNA from 1 species